rnacentral:misc_RNA from 1 species
UGCGGCGAAGCCUGUCAG